UUAAGCGUCCAUAGCGCCUUGAAUACACCGGCUCUCAUCCGAUCACCGAAGUUAAGCAAGGUUGAGCGUGGUCAGUACUUGGAUGGGUGACGACUUUUAGUCUUGUAGUUUUCUGGU
rnacentral:rRNA from 1 species